rnacentral:rRNA from 1 species
UCCAGACUCCUACGGGAGGCAGCAGUGAGGAAUAUUGGUCAAUGGCCGAGAGGCUGAACCAGCCAAGUCGCGUGAGGGAAGACGGCCCUACGGGUUGUAAACCUCUUUUGUCGGGGAGCAAAGAGAGUCACGUGUGACUCAUUGAGAGUACCCGACGAAAAAGCAUCGGCUAACUCCGUGCCAGCAGCCGCGGUAAUACGGAGGAUGCGAGCGUUAUCCGGAUUUAUUGGGUUUAAAGGGUGCGUAGGCGGGGUGUUAAGUCAGCGGUCAAAUGUCGGGGCUCAACCCCGGCCUGCCGUUGAAACUGCAUCCCUUGAGUGCGCGAGAAGUAUGCGGAAUGCGUGGUGUAGCGGUGAAAUGCAUAGAUAUCACGCAGAACUCCGAUUGCGAAGGCAGCAUACCGGCGCGCAACUGACGCUGAAGCACGAAAGCGUGGGUAUCGAACAGGAUUAGAUACCCGCGUA